ensembl:snoRNA SNORA70 Small nucleolar RNA SNORA70
CUGCCGUCAAUUAAGCCAACAGGAACAGGGUUCUUCUGCUGGUGGGUACCCAGUGUGCGUGUAGUGGCUGCAAACAGCAAUCUCCUGGGUAGUGUAUGUAACCUGCUGCUUAUAUGGGCUGCUCUAAGGGACCUUAGAGACACUG